UACGUAGGGGGCAAGCGUUGUCCGGAUUUAUUGGGCGUAAAGAGCGUGUAGGCGGCCAGGUAGGUCUGCUGUGAAAACUCGAGGCUUAACCUCGAGAUGUCGGCGGAAACCAUCUGGCUAGAGUCCGGAAGAGGAGAGUGGAAUUCCUGGUGUAGCGGUGAAAUGCGCAGAUAUCAGGAAGAACACCAAUGGCGAAAGCAGCUCUCUGGGACGGUACUGACGCUGAGACGCGAAAGCGUGGGGAGCGAACAGG
rnacentral:rRNA from 1 species